rnacentral:lncRNA from 1 species
AGGGACAUCAGACAGAGCUACAACCAGUGAGGGACAAAAGUGAGGCAGCUGCUGAAGAGGUACUUCAUACUGUCAUUGACUGAUAUCACUAUGGUGGAGAUGCAGGUGGCUUUAGAAAUAUGCUGAAUUGGUUUGAUCCAGAGAGGCAGUUAUGCAUAAGAGCAACCACUCUCUAUUGAAUUAGGAGAUCUCUCAUGCAACACAUCUCACCAAUUACAAGUCCCCAUUAGCCACCACGAUGGCUGGAGAAGAGUGGAUCAUCACAAAUGGUGACAACUGUGGUGCUAUCCCACUGUCAAUGCAGGAGAGAGCAAUACACACAAGACAGUUCAGUUCACAAGUCCAUCAGAAGCAGACUGCAGUUGCAUGAAGGCGCUGGCAAGUCUCUGCAGGGAAGUGUCAGCCUUACUUGCUACACCAAGGACAGUUGGGCAAGAUCAACAUCAGACAUGGACAUUCUGUGCCACUGAGAGAUCUCAUUAUUAUGCCUUUCCUGGGAAUCCCUUGCCCUCAUCCCAACUCAGCCACUAAUAAAACCUUAACUUUAUCUUUCAGUGAAA